rnacentral:rRNA from 1 species
GAUGAGUUUGAUCGUGGCUCAGGACGAACGCUGGCGGCGUGCCUAAUACAUGCAAGUCGAGCGCGGGAAGCGAGCUGAUCCCUUCGGGGUGACGCUCGUGGAACGAGCGGCGGACGGGUGAGUAACACGUGGGCAACCUGCCUGUAAGAUCGGGAUAACUCCGGGAAACCGGGGCUAAUACCGGGUAAUACUUUCUUUCGCAUGAAGGAAAGUUGAAAGAUGGCUUCUCGCUAUCACUUACAGAUGGGCCCGCGGCGCAUUAGCUAGUUGGUGAGGUAACGGCUCACCAAGGCGACGAUGCGUAGCCGACCUGAGAGGGUGAUCGGCCACACUGGGACUGAGACACGGCCCAGACUCCUACGGGAGGCAGCAGUAGGGAAUCUUCCGCAAUGGACGAAAGUCUGACGGAGCAACGCCGCGUGAACGAUGAAGGUCUUCGGAUCGUAAAGUUCUGUUGUUAGGGAAGAACAAGUACCGUGCGAAUAGAGCGGUACC